GGAUCCAGCUUCCAGGAUAGAUAAUAGGGGUCCUCCUGCGACCUAGGUCUUUUGUCCCAAGUAUUCUGUUCCUUUUUGGUGAUCUGCUCAGCAGUCCUCAUCUUCUAGUUUAUCCUUCUUUCUACAUCGUCUACUCAGAGUCUAGAGGAGGUCCAACUAUCAGUUUUUCUCUUAUAUGUUUUAUCAUUUGGAAUUAUAGCAGGUUACAUGUUUUUAUAAGUAUAAUUAUCAGGGGAAGUUCUGUCAGUUUUCCGGGUCAUAUCAGUCUCUACAAUUUGGGGAUUGGGUGUGA